CCUUUCUUUUACUUUCUCUCAUUUUUCUCUCAAAAAGAAUAUAACACAAAAUAUGAAAAGAAUGACUUGGCAACCUCUAUUCCCUCGCUCUGCCAGAAAUUUUCUUCCCUUCCCCCACCGUACUCCUCCCUAACCGUCGCCGGUAACCUCCCUAACCACCAUCAGAGUUUCUCUUCCUCUCUCACCCUCACCAUCAGGCCUUCUCCUUCCUUCCUCCCGUGCGCGAAUAUCUCCUCCGUGAUCUCUCUUUCGCAAAGCACUCUCGCCGUCUUCUCACUUCCGUUCCAGCAAGCUCCGUCGCUCAGUUCCGGUCACCGCCAACUCCGUCGACUGCAACAUCUCACUCCGACCAGCAUCCAAUUCCGGCAGUCUACAUACACCCGCUAUCACGCGAUCUUCAGCAACACGUACCCCCUGCUCCCUCCUUCGAUUACAAUUUCACAAGAACACUAUUGUUCCCUCUGGUACGCAUCAACGUCCAGCAUCAUCAUCAUCAUCUAG